rnacentral:rRNA from 1 species
GACGAACGCUGGCGGCGUGCUUAACACAUGCAAGUCGAACGGUGAAGCUCCAGCUUGCUGGAGUGGAUCAGUGGCGAACGGGUGAGUAACACGUGAGCAACCUGCCCCUGACUCUGGAAUAAGCGCUGGAAACGGCGUCUAAUACUGGAUACGAGAAGGGUCCGCAUGGGCACUUUCUGGAAAGUUUUUCGGUUGGGGAUGGGCUCGCGGCCUAUCAGCUUGUUGGUGAGGUAAUGGCUCACCAAGGCGACGACGGGUAGCCGGCCUGAGAGGGCGACCGGCCACACUGGGACUGAGACACGGCCCAGACUCCUACGGGAGGCAGCAGUGGGGAAUAUUGCACGAUGGGCGAAAGCCUGAUGCAGCGACGCCGCGUGAGGGAUGACGGCCUUCGGGUUGUAAACCUCUUUCAGCAGGGAAGAAGCGAAAGUGACGGUACCUGCAGAAGAAGCACCGGCUAACUACGUG